rnacentral:rRNA from 1 species
GUGGGGAAUAUUGGUCAAUGGGGGCAACCCUGAACCAGCGACGCCGCGUGAGUGAAGAAGUAUUUCGGUAUGUAAAGCUCUAUCAGCAGGGACGAUGAUGACGGUACCUGACUAAGAAGCCCCGGCUAACUACGUGCCAGCAGCCGCGGUAAUACGUAGGGGGCAAGCGUUAUCCGGAUUUACUGGGUGUAAAGGGAGUGUAGGUGGUUAUGCAAGUCUGAUGUGAAAUCCAUGGGCUCAACCGAUGGACUGCAUUGGAAACUGCGUAACUGGAGUGCAGGAGAGGUAAGCGGAAUUCCUAGUGUAGCGGUGAAAUGCGUAGAUAUUAGGAAGAACACCGGCGGCGAAGGCGGCUUACUGGACUGUAACUGACACUGAGGCUCGAAAGCGUGGGGAGCAAACAGG